UUUCCUCAUUAAAGUUCAAAUGUGCUCUUAUUUUAGCCACAAGAGGAAACCACAGAAAAUAAAGUUGUUGCGCAGUGGAACGGCACCAUUAGGCCAGUGGAAAGUGAUUUUGGGUUCCCUCCUACAGAGCCCCUCGAACAGAGCCUCCAGAAGGACACCAAAGGAAACACACAAAAGUGAACACACACAGCAGAUGGUUCAACUCAACAGAGCAAACACAUCUGAAGUCCUGAAGGAGAAAUACUGCCAACAUGAAGUAGCCUAUGCCAUUUAUUCAUUCUGCUGCUGCUUAUUUUAAUUGUGAAUUCAAAAAAAAAUUUAAAAAAUACUGUAUGAAAAUUUCGUUUUU